rnacentral:lncRNA from 1 species
UGAAAUUACCUUAUUGAUGCAGAUGCUGCAUGUACGAUAUCAAAAAAAAUUCUUUAAUAAAAAGUCAUGGUCAAAAAGAGAUCAAGCGGCGUGUGGACUGAUACCCUAUCAUCAUGCAUGCCUCGGAGAUCAUGGCUGACACUUUUGAUCGUACGAUCUCUGUCUUCCCCCAUCAGUCGGUGGGUGGAGCACGCGAAUGGCCACGCCCUCCUCCGGCGGCGAAGGACGACCGAGCCCGGCCGGAAUGUGCUACGUUGCUAUACACCAGUCUACGUAGCAGUACGAGACAGGCAAAGGGCUUUUUCCCUACCCUUCUGUUUCUAAAUAUAAGUAUUUCAAAAGGUUAUACUCACUCCCAGGCCCGGCCCUGAGGGGGGGGGGCGAACGGGGCGGCCGCCCCGGGCCCCCGACACCGAGGGGCCCCGGAUGUGAUCUUUCUUCCCUACUAGGCCUGGCAAGAAGAGCACAUCACGGACACAUCACGGAUGGCAGUUUUGGAUCCCAGGAUCUCUACGGUAGCCCAAUGCAUAUCCUAAAUCAUACCGUGAUCUCCGCCUGCGACCAUGCAGAUUGAUUGCACCAUCUUCAAAAAUGUCCAUCUUUUGCUGCUACGUUCCUGGUGUUGUGCCAGAUUUGUGUUGGUUGUUGUAGUCAGGUUCAUCUUGUUGCUGCGGCGGCGACUCCAGCGCUCCCUCCGGCGAGCCGGAACAGUACUCCACGUUGUAGGUCUCCAACGAUCUCGUCGCGCUCGUCAACUACCUCGGCCAGAAGCAGUUUUCCCUGGUUGUGCACGACUGGGGCGACUGGGGCGUGAUGAUAGCUUGGACGUCAGAUGGACAUGGUGAAAGCGCUGGUCCCCUUGUGCAUGCCCUUAAGUCCUCCGAGCCUGACAAAAAAGCUCGUGGAUCAAUGGAUGGCUUGAGAGUUCAGUAUGCUGGUAUAAGGGAAAGUACUGCAUGUGGUGCAUCCAGGUAUAUAUAUAUUACUCUUAAGCAAAGUUUCAUAGUACUCCUUUAUAAACUAAUAUAAGAUUAUUUAGAUUAUUAAAGUAGUGUUCUAAAUGCUUUUAUAUUAGUUUACGGAGGGAGUAUAUAUUUUCUUUCUGUCUUUUGGUGGGGUUAUUAAAUUGCCUAAUGAAAGAUAGUGCUCUUGUGUUCAUGCAAUGUGAAAUUGCUUUGAAUUUAUUUUUAUGAAGUCAUCAACAAUUUUAUUGCUUUAAAUUCAUUGUAAAAAUAUAGCCCAACACGCUAUAAAAUAAUUUUUUAGUAUAGAUGUUAACUUUACUGGAUUAAUUAGGACCAUAAUAAAGUAAGAAAAGAAAGAAUAAUGUUGUAGACGAGUGCGGAUGGAUUUACGGAUCAAUGGAAGAUAGUGUCCAAACAAUUAUCAUAGAAAACAUUAGUGAUUUCUACAAAUAUAUUCUUUGAAUAUUAUGUUGAACAAGCAAAAAAAAAACCUUAAAACUUGCACAAAGUUCAUUCCAAGGAAAGCUUUUCAACAUUGAAAAAUAUUAUUUUGAUGUUCAUAUUUAGAGGCCCCAGGUUGUCGUUUCGCCCCGGGCCCUCAAAAUCUCAGGACCGGCCCUGCUCACUCCGUUCUUAAAUAUAAGUUUUUUAGAUAAUUCACUAGAGAACUACAUACAGAUGUAUAUAGACAUAUUUUAAGUAUAGAUUCACUCAUUUUGUUUCGUAGUCAUUUAGUGAAAUUUUUAGAAAAA